AGCGAACGCUGGCGGCAGGCCUAACACAUGCAAGUCGAACGAACUCUUCGGAGUUAGUUGCGGACGGGGGCGUAACACGUGGGAACGUGCCUUUAGGUUCGGAAUAACUCAGGGAAACUUGUGCUAAUACCGAAUGUGCCCUUCGGGGGAAAGAUUUAUCGCCUUUAGAGCGGCCCGCGUCUGAUUAGCUAGUUGGUGAGGUAAAGGCUCACCAAGGCGACGAUCAGUAGCUGGUCUGAGAGGAUGAUCAGCCACAUUGGGACUGAGACACGGCCCAAACUCCUACGGGAGGCAGCAGUGGGGAAUCUUGCGAAAUGGGCGAAAGCCUGACGCAGCCAUGCCGCGUGAAUGAUGAAGGUCUGAGGAUUGUAAAAUUCUUUCACCGGGGACGAUAAUGACGGUACCCGGAGAAGAAGCCCCGGCUAACUUCGUG
rnacentral:rRNA from 1 species